CUUUAACACGUUUUUGUCUUUCCAUAACCAGGAGGAGAGCGCAUCGUUGUGUUGCAAAGCUUUACGAAUUAUUCAAAAAUCUACUGUGGAUGCACAACGUGACACCAUCAACGUCAACGACACUCGUGGACCCGUGGACACAUGUUGAGGUCCAACCCUGGUCCUCGAGAGCCACUGCACUGCUUGUUUUGCAGCUGUCCCUGCCCUUCCAGCUUCUGACUGACAACACACCUGAUCCAUUACUAAUCAGCAGUGAGUAAGGCAUGGAAAGUUGGAAAACAAGCAGAGUCAUGUCAAAUGCUUAAUGGCCAAAUGCAGUAUGAGGGGUGGUGGCCAAAUUUCACAGCCUUUCAAAGCUACAGCU